CCUCGCCCAGUCAGCAAUGCGCAUGCGCAAAGCGGCACCCGCACAUGCGCACACAGCACAAACACGUGCGGGUGCGCAGUGCUGCCUCUCCGCCAACAGACGGCGAUGGGAAGCGAAGUGAGACCCGAGUCCGAUGCCAGGCCAGUGAGCCUUGAAAGUCCUGACCUGGCUGCUCCUGUCUUUGGAGAGAGCAGAGUCACAAGGUCUAUUGAGAGUCUCACUCUGCCACCCAGAUUGCAGUAUAGUGGCACAAUCUUGGUUCAUCUUGGCAACCUCCCGUUCCCAGGCUCAAAACAUCCUCCCACCUCAGCCUCCCAAGUAGCCAGGAAUACAGUCAAGGAAGAAGCAGCAAUAUUUUAGUAUCCAGAAAGUGGAAAUAACCCAAAUACCCAUCAACAGCAGAAUGAAUGAAUAAAUUAUAGCAUAUUCACACCAUGGAAUGUUGUAUAGCAAAGAGAAUGAAUGAACUAUUGCCAAAAAAGACAAGGACAAAUCUCAUAAACAUGAUGUUGAAAGAAACCAUAGUCCAAAAAGUACAUAUUAUGUGAUUCCAUUUAUAUAAAGUGGGAAAAGGAAGCAACAUGAACUUACGGUGUUGGAAGUUAGGAUAGUGUUACCCUUAGGGGUAGUGACUGAAAGAGAACAUGAGAGGGGUGUUGGGAUGUGCAGUGAUGUUUGGUUCUUCAUCUGGGUGCUAGUUGCAUGGGGUUGCUCACUUUGGGAAAUACCAUUGAGUGGUAUGCUUCUGACCUGUGCACUAUUCUGCAUAUGUGUUAUACUUCAAAAUAAAACAUUAAAACACAGGAGGAAGGACAUGGUCUCAAAGCAAAGGACAGGUUUUUUUGUUUUCUUUUUCUUUUUUUGUUUUGUUUUGUUUUGGUUUUGGUUUGGUUUGGUUUGAGACAGAGUCUUGCUCUGUUGCCCAGGCAAUAGUUCACUGCAACCUCUACCUCCCGGAUUCAAGUGAUUCUCCUGCCUCAGACACCUGAGUAGCUGGGAUUACAGGUAUGAGCCACCAGACUGGCUAAUUUUUGUGUUUUCAGUAGAGACAGGAUUUCACCAUGUUGGCCAGGCUAGUCUUGAACUCCUAACCUCAGGUGAUCUGCCUGCCUCAGCCUCCCAAAGUGCUGGGAUUACAGAUGUGAGCCACCAUAGGCAGGUCUUUAAAGACCAGACAGGUCUUUAAAAAGUAAGUUUAACUUUAUAAAAAGUUUUAUGAAAAAUGUACUACGUUUUCCCACAUUUUUCUCAUCUCUCCUUGAUCCAGUGUAAAUUGCUUUAGGACAGGGUUCUGGGCUAUGCCAAUAUCAGUGGGAAAAGGAAACAGGGGUGACAUGAUUGGCAUCAACUGAUGCUGUGAGGAACAGGUCAGCUCUCCAAGGAAGGCGCCUCUCGACUGCUCCUGGCUGCUGCGCUCAGAGUUCACACACACUGUGUUGUGUGCGUGUCUACACAGAUGCUUCCCAACCUUUUGCAGACCAUGGCAUAUGCAGAAAAUGACAACAUUGGAAUGGCACACUGGCAUACCAGAUGGGGCUCCUGGCAGUCAGUGCUGACUGGCCUCAUCCUUCAGCCACCCCCAGAAAGAGAGAGAUCAAUACCUUGGCACAUCUGUGGGAAAGCUCCAAUUAGAGAGUUGGGGGAAGACAUGGGGCUCCACAACACAUUUCAGGUUCUGUAAACUGACAAAGGGGAAGAGUCUGGGCUUCCUUUGCCCUUUUGUUCUUGGAGAGCCCAGCUGUGCACACCCCUCACCCCUGCACUAUAGCUCCCAUUCGGGUAGUGAAAAUCACAGGACUCAGGGGAGCUGUGCAGCAUUCGGGAAUGGAGACCUGGAAAGCCACACUCUUUGCUUUCCCGUGAGCCUCUCUUCUUGCUGUCCCCUUUACAAACCAACAGUCCCUGCAGGGGGAAGAUGCUCUGCUUUAGUCAGUUCCACCUCCCUUCCAGGUCUCAUCCUCCUUCCAGCCUCAUUUUCCCCACACCCUCAUGCUCCUUCCCACUGUUCACCCUCACCCCCAGCUCUCCUCCAGCACAUCACACAUUGCACCCAGCAUGCUGCGCUUGUCUGCCAUCUAUGAACAGACCCACGUCACCCACACCCUUCUCUUUCCCUGUUGUGCCAGAGCCUCUGCCAGGAGCGCUCAGCCUGCUGUCUCCACUUAGACCUCCCCUCUCUACAAAGCCUCCUUCUGCAUGCUGCCUGAGAGCCACUCCUCUCUUGGGUUUGUGUUACUGCUGUGUGUGGCGGCAUCUCCGUGGUACCUGAUUUCCUGUCUUGGCCUAUCGUAGAUGCUCAACAAUUGUUUCUCAAAUAACUACCAGGCUGCAGAGGGACCCCGACACUAACUCCACCCCACCCUGACUCUUGGCAGUCACUCAUUGUCUCCUUGAGUUGGGAUCCCAGCCUCCCAGAGGACCUGUCUUGCUGCUGUUCUAUAUUCUGUCACCCUACCGCCGGGAGACUAGAGCCAUGCUGCCUGGAUGAGACUCAUCUUUACCAGCUCCUAGCUCUGGUGCUGCCUGCUCGGGGUGGCUGCAGGCAGCAGCCUGAUUGGGAUUGGGCUGAUUACAGGUGAAUCAGCACAAGGCUGACUGUGGUGUGACAAAGCGGGAGAGUGACUACUGUCUCAGCCUCAGUCCUGGCUCCCCUUCUUCUAGCCAUGACCUGCAGUAACAGCAUAUGGCCACCAGGGGCUCUACUGGGCGACUCAUGCCCCACCGAGAAAGGUCCACUGGGAGCAUCUGACCCCAGCUCCCAGCAGAUGAGAAAGGAAGCAUUUGGGAGGCCUCUUCUCUCAGAGGUCUCUGGCGCUGAAGCCCCACAGCCCCACCCGGCUGCCUUAUCCUUGUUUUGCCCCUCCUGGGUCUAGAAGCUGUUGUCUCACACCUUAACAUCUUCCUCCUUGCUUGCCAUGAGCUUCUCUGCAGGCCGCCCCCUUUACAGAACAGUCAAGGUAGAGGGAAGAUGCCUCCACUUUUGUCAGUUCUGCCUCCUUUAGGAGAGUGCCAGGGCUACUCCCUGUGUGCCCCAUCUGUCGGGGCAUGGAAAGGACAAUUGUCCUGUUUCAUCUUUUCAACACCUCUUGACUCUGUCCUCCUGGUCUCCCCACAGCCAACUAGGUUCAGGGCCUCCCAUCUCUGGUCAGGAUUAGUGCAACAGCUGUCUGAAGGGUCCCGGGCUCCAGGGAGCCCCUUGCCCAUCAAGUCUCCACCCUGGAGCCAGACAGCCCUCACUCCCUUCAGACAUCAGCCUCCAGUGGCUCCCAAAAGCCCGAUGUUCACACAGCACCCCAUGGCCCCAAGAUCCAGCUGCUUGAUUUUCCUGCCAUGUCCCUCCUGUCCCCUGGCCCUCCCACCCAGAAAUCGCCCCAACACACUGUGAUGUUUCAAGCCUUUGUACUUUGCACACAUUCUUCUCCAUGGCCCAAUUCCUUCUCUCCAUCCCUCACCCCACCCCUCCUCCACCUUUACCCUUGUUCCCCGUUCUUUCAUCACCGGGCACAGCCCUAUUUAUCCUUCAAAACUGCCACUUCCUUUGCAAAGCCUUUCCUGACCCAGGUCCCAGUAUUCCUCCUCUGAACAAAUCCCGUUCCCUUAACAUGUGUCUCUCGUUGUAUCUGUCACUCAGAAUUGCAAUAAUUACACAGGCCUGUCCUGUGUCCUCCACUGGCCCUGUACCUCCAUGUGGGACCUGUGACCAGCACACAUCGGUGCUGCCCGAAAGCUGUUGCACUGGAGUUGCUUCCUCUGCCCCAUCACCUCCCACCUUAAGCAAGUCCUUUAGAUGACCUGAACUCCAGUUUGCUGAUCUGUGAAAUGGAGAGGUGUGAGAAUCAGAAGAGAACAUACAAUGAAAGGGUGUUAUAAACUGUUAGGGGCUGUACAAAUAUUUUUAUUGCAUUU